rnacentral:rRNA from 1 species
CGUGUAGGCGGCCUGAUGUGUCAGAUGUGAAAGCCCUGGGCUCAACUCAGGAAGUGCAUUUGAAACUGUCAGGCUUGAGUAGGGGAGAGGGAAGUGGAAUUCCUGGUGUAGAGGUGAAAUUCGUAGAUAUCAGGAGGAACACCGGUGGCGAAGGCGACUUCCUGGCCCUAUACUGACGCUGAGACGCGAGAGCGUGGGUAGCAAACA